rnacentral:sRNA from 1 species
CUAGCGUAUCCGCUCCUUCCGCUUUCCCAGCAGGCUCCGCGCGGCGCCUGCGUGCUCUGUGACCUUUCCCAUUCUGUCGCGGAAUCUAGUGUGGCCUUGAUCCCGCUGAGAUGCUUCAAAGCUUUAUUAAGAAGGUCUGGGUCCCCAUGAAACCCUACUAUACCCAGGUUUACCAGGAAAUUUGGGUAGGAGUGGGGUUGAUGUCCCUCAUCGUUUAUAAAAUCAGGAGUGCUGAUAAAAGAAGUAAAGCUCUGAAAGGCUGCAGUCCUGCGCAUGCCCAUGGCCAUCACUAACUGCUCCCCCAGUCCACUCAGGAUGAAUACGUCAGCUGAACUUAAGCAAGCUGUGUAGAUGGGAACAUGGAACAUCACUGUACAGUUACCUAAGUACCGUUUACAAUGUGGCAUUAAUAAAUGUGUCUGAGAAGCACCACUCCCUGUGAAUACCACUGUCUGCUCCCCUGAAUAAAUCCUUGGUAAAGCGG